GCCCCCACCGCUUUCAUUCUCUUUUCUAGCAAGAAGAUAAACUCCCCCUCCCCUUCCAUUCUUUUCUCUAUAGGAUCAAGAAGACGGAGAUGAAGAAGAUAAGAAGACGACGAUGACUUUAUGGAGUGGAAGAAGAAAAGAAGACGAGGAUGACUUUAAGGAAUAAUCAAAGAGAACAAGAAAGAAGAAGAGGAUGAUGAUUCAUAUGCUGAUAGAAAUAGAUCAGUCAGAUCAUCAACCAAUCCUGAUUCCGAUUCAGACUGAUGAGUAAGUAAUUAGUCAUAUUGGUUUCUCUCCAAUCAAACGAGUAUAUUGACAUUUUCCUUGUGCUGAAUCUUCCACAUCUUGGGAUACCUUUCUCUAUUAUCUAAUACAAAGUCUUUUUAUUGUAGAGAUGAUAAUUGGUAAAGAGUGAAUGUUGUGGCAGAAAUAGUAUUAUAUGCUGUAAUAGUAGUUUUAAAAAAAAAAAAAGACUUUAUGGAGUGAAACCAAGAAACGUAUAGGACUCAACAUUAAUUGAAUGAAGGAUUCUUAUUUCAAUACAGAGUAAAUGUAAUUGUGGUCAAUCUUGACAUGCCAAA